rnacentral:lncRNA from 1 species
CACAUGAACUCCAUCCAACCAAAAAUUGCACAUCCAAUUAAUGAAGGUUCGUCAACUAUAAAAAAAUUAUACCUUCACAUCUUAUCGUUAGAUUUCACAAGAAGAACCAUCAGCUUUCAAUUCUCUUGACUUGUAUGCUGUAGGAAUUUUCAAAAGACUAUGAAUGGUUACACCAUUUAUUACGUUAGCACUGUUAUCUGCAUGACA